rnacentral:rRNA from 1 species
AACGAACGCUGGCGGCAUGCCUAACACAUGCAAGUCGAACGAGACCUUCGGGUCUAGUGGCGCACGGGUGCGUAACGCGUGGGAACCUGCCCUUAGGUUCGGCAUAACUCCCCGAAAGGGGUGCUAAUACCGGAUAAUGUCUUCGGCCCAAAGAUUUAUCGCCUUUGGAUGGGCCCGCGUUGGAUUAGCUAGUUGGUAGGGUAAAAGCCUACCAAGGCGACGAUCCAUAGCUGGUCUGAGAGGAUGAUCAGCCACACUGGGACUGAGACACGGCCCAGACUCCUACGGGAGGCAGCAGUGGGGAAUAUUGGAAAAUGGGCGAAAGCCUGAUCCAGCAAUGCCGCGUGAGUGAUGAAGGCCUGAGGGUUGUAAAGCUCUUUUAACCGGGAUGAUAAUGACAGUACCGGGAGAAUAAGCUCCGGCUAACUACGUG